rnacentral:rRNA from 1 species
GAUGAACGCUGGCGGCGUGCCUAAUACAUGCAAGUCGAGCGAACGGACGAGAAGCUUGCUUUUCUGAUGUUAGCGGCGGACGGGUGAGUAACACGUGGAUAACCUACCUAUAAGACUGGGAUAACUUCGGGAAACCGGAGCUAAUACCGGAUAAUAUUUUGAACCGCAUGGUUCAAUAGUGAAAGACGGUCUUGCUGUCACUUAUAGAUGGAUCCGCGCCGCAUUAGCUAGUUGGUAAGGUAACGGCUUACCAAGGCAACGAUGCAUAGCCGACCUGAGAGGGUGAUCGGCCACACUGGAACUGAGACACGGUCCAGACUCCUACGGGAGGCAGCAGUAGGGAAUCUUCCGCAAUGGGCGAAAGCCUGACGGAGCAACGCCGCGUGAGUGAUGAAGGUCUUCGGAUCGUAAAACUCUGUUAUUAGGGAAGAACAAAUGUGUAAGUAACUAUGCACAUCUUGACGGUACCUAAUCAGAAAGCCACGGCUAACUACGUG